UACGGAGGGUGCGAGCGUUAUCCGGAAUUACUGGGUUUAAAGGGUGCGUAGGCGGCCAGGUAAGUCAGGAGUGAAAGUUUGCGGCUCAACCGUAAAAUUGCUUUUGAUACUGCCAGGCUAGAAUUAGGAUGAGGUCAGCGGAAUGUGGCAUGUAGCGGUGAAAUGCGUAGAUAUCUGGAGGAACACCGGUGGCGAAGGCGGCAUCCUGGACCAAUACUGACACUGAGGAGCGAAAGCCAGGGGAGCAAACGGG
rnacentral:rRNA from 1 species